UUCCCCAUUCUGCCUGGCCUAG
rnacentral:miRNA from 1 species